rnacentral:rRNA from 1 species
AUACGGAGGGGACUAGCGUUGUUCGGAAUUACUGGGCGUAAAGCGUACGUAGGCGGAUCAGAAAGUAUGGGGUGAAAUCCCAGGGCUCAACCCUGGAACUGCCUCAUAAACUCCUGAUCUUGAGUUCGAGAGAGGUGAGUGGAAUUCCGAGUGUAGAGGUGAAAUUCGUAGAUAUUCGGGGGAACACCAGUGGCGAAGGCGGCUCACUGGCUCGAUACUGACGCUGAGGUACGAAAGUGUGGGGAGCAAACAGGAUUAGAAACCCCGGUAGUCC